GGGGGGAUCAUAUUAUGACAUACGGACACACAACAAAAGAGAUCUCGCAUAUUAAAUCGUAACCAGACGAGAUGCACGCGGCUCGACUCUCUGAAGUUUGCUUCACAGCGAUCGAUCAGCGGAACUCGCUGCAACGUCAUCGGUGAACUGUGAGCUCUUGGGAGGAAAGAAAAACAACAACAACAACAACAACCUGGAGGACUUUAAGCAUCUGUGAGCCGCAUCAGUAGAAUCAAUGCAAACACGCAACACGCUCGCUCAGCAGCACCAGUGCAGUGAUCAAUCAGCGUGAAUAUAAAGCACACACACACACCUGCCUGACACCCAUUUAACCAAACUGCUAACCUUAACCCCAGAAUCUAAAAUUAGCCCGUGGACGCCAUGACGGAUGUCCUCAUUAUCCAACACUCACCCUGUUCUCUCCAUCAGCGGAGGACUCGCCGCCUCUAGAGUCCGGACACGCGCGGCUCUGCUCAAUGACCAGACAGAUUAGUUUGUAUCAGUUCAUCCCAGACAGGUGACCUCUGACCCCUGACCAGGAAGCAGGAAGCGUGGCAUAGGGUGAGGGGGGGGGGGGGGGGGGGGGGCCCAACUAGAAACAGGCCCUCCCGUUUCACUGGCGUUAUCUCCGCCUCUCUCUCUCUCUCUCUCAUUAGUGAGCAGAGCGCAAAACAGCCACGGGAUCAGUUUUUAGCAUCUCGAGGCCACAACCAAAGGAUGUGGAGAUGAGACACCGGGACCUGUAGCGCCACAUCAGUUUGGUAAAAAAGGCGGAGGCUCCGCUCAGCCGCUCCCUGUGAGAAUGUGACCCCCCCCAUGCGGAUUAAUCUGUUUUUAACUACGCUUGGCCACCUGCCAAAGCCCACGGUGUUUGUAUUCUAUCGCCGCUUUGACAGCGAGACACUUGCUGCCCUCUCGUUACGCCCCGUGACAUAAAAAGUUGCCUUUCAACACAAUGACUUUUCUAUUUUCCUCUAAAAAAAAGAGCCUCUUGUUGAACGCGGCAAAAAAAGAAAGAAGAAAAGGACUCUAAUGGUUCCGACGCACCGCUACAUCUCCGUCUCCCUGCCGGGGAUAAGCUGAACGUUGCAUUAGUUUCCAUUCAUCCGCGCCCCUCUGAUCCGCUCUGCGUAAGGGCGGCGCCCGCGGAGCCACGAAUGCGGCCACCUUUAGUUCAUUGUUGAGACCGACCCCGAUGUCACCGCAAUCCCACGGGGAGACGAAUGCUUUGAGUUGGACUUUUAAAAAAAACACCUUGAUGUGUUAGAAGGCAACUAUAAAAAAAGAAGAAGAGACUGUUUGAAAGGAGGUUUUUGUCUGAAAACACAGUCGGUGGUCAGAUGUAGACGUGGGACAGUAGACGUGGGACAGUAGACGUGGGACAGUAUCUGUGUGUGCCUGAGUUGAUGUGACGGGCUCCUGUUGGAGGGUCAGGAUGGAAACACACACACACACACACACACACACACACACACACACACACACACACUCGGGGAUGUUCCCAUAGCCUUUCCGAAUGGUUAGGCAAUCUGUCGCCCUCCCUCCGUCGCUCUCACUCAGCCUCUCGUGUCCCACUCUCACUCACUUCCUCUCUGGCUCCAUCAGUGUUCCCUUCCUGUCCCUUUUUGUCAACUCACCUCUAGUAUUUUUUCCCGGCCGUCCUUCCACUCACAAGGUGAGGGAGAAGAGUACAAAUGGAGAACUGCACACAAGCAUUUGUUUUUGUGCUUUCCGACUGGUGAAAAUCUGCAAUAUUCUUCUGUAGAAUACGAAAACAAAAGAGAGGCCCGAUUACGUUCCACCAUCUCUGUACGACAGCCACAGUGUGUAUCCUUAAUACACCUGUUCACCUGUCCUUUCUGCCUGAGAACAGAGGAAACAGGGAAGAAAGGCUGCGCUGGGUCUAAUGAGCGGAUUCUCCCACCAGAACCACCAAUUAAGGGCCUCUCAUUAGCGAGGUCCACAGAGCCGCCACUGUUCUGCACAGCGCAAGAGGCCGGGGAUGAACACGCCACUGAUGAUUAUAGAUCAAUGGCGCGCACACGCACACACACACACACACACACACACACACACACAUUCAACCCCUGCACUGAACUAUACACUAAUACAAAAUACAAGCACAUAAAACUGAAGGUUACCUGACAACCACUUUUGGAUGGAGCAUUUCCUCUCUUGACUCCGCUUCAAAUAACACAAGAACCCUGAACAAAUACGUCAAGUUAUGUCAGGUGUCUCUCUCUCUCUCUCCCUCUCUCUCUUUUCCUCUCUUGCACGUCUUUUUGUUUGCCGUAACCCUAAACUUCAGGAUCACGUGUCAGACACGGGAGUGAGGAAGAGAGAACUUAUUAAAGAGAAACAACCCAGUCAGAAACACCAAGAACGUUGAGCACAAAGCAGAGAGAAGGAGCUUUUGCAGGGUGCACCCGUGGGUGGCGCCUCGUCCUUAUCAUUGCUAUUAAAAGGGAGAGGGUGAUAAACACGUCGCUCUGAUACUUGUUCUUCAAACAUCACUUCACCUGAGCGGCGAGAGUCUGCCUUUGGCAAAUAUUAGUUUGUGUAUUUUCGUUAAUCAGGUUCAGAGAGGAGCUUCAGGGAAUUAAUGUAACAUGUUACAUGUACACAUGUUACAUGUGUACAUGAAUCUGUACACAUGUAACAUGUGUGUGUGAGUUUGUAAACAUGAACAGCCGUGUCUUGACUUGAAAGAAAAAUACACAAAAGUGUGUUUGUUUUCUGUCUAUCACCAAACCUGGAGCAGUUUCUAUGGCAACUGUGGGACCACGUGGGCCCUGAAUGCAUCACAACAGAAGAGGUCGUACCCGUAAGUAAGAGGCAGGGUGAUCGUAAAUGGACAUUAUGCCGUAUGGAUUAUUUACAAUCGGUUCACUCAGUUCAGUUGUAUAUUUAUCUCCUACAUCCAUCACCCAAUGACAUAAGUAUCAUCUGUCGUAAGAGCAAGGAAUUAUCCAAAAAGUAUCAAAUAAAGAAUUGUUUAAAUGUUCAAAUAUCAAAAUCAUACAGACCACUAGAGGACAGCAGCUGCUCUCUGCACCUUAAAUCUGAUUCCAUGACAGACAAAAGGGAAAAUAAAAGUCUUUAAAACACAGCGAUGUUUGUCCUGAAUAGAGCAGAUUGUCUUCGUUUAGGAACUACGGUUUGAAUUCAUUGGUCAGUGAGAUGAGCCUGUAGUUCUCCUCGAGUGUUAAACGUCCUUUCAUUCCUUCAAGCCUCACCCUCCAAAAAAUGUGAGGAAUUUUAUGUGUUUCGUACGGAGAGAGUUGCAAGGACACACUUCUCACUCCAGAUAAACAGCGGCGUGUCUCGCAAUGCAUCCCUGCUGCUCGCUUCAAACGGCCUCCAGUUAAAUCUGUUGUAACAGAGAAUCGCUUCAGAUGAGUUGAUUGACUGAUUGUAACAACCCCACCGACUCUCCCCGUGCACACAGCACACAGUCAACGUCUCUCAAAGUUCACGUCACUUUCAGUUCCAUGUCAGUUUUACGGACAUGGAACUGACACUGUGCCCCCCCCCCCCCC
ensembl:lncRNA